rnacentral:sRNA from 1 species
AGUCGUAACAAGGUUCCGUAGGUGAACCUGCGGAAGGAUCAUUACAGUAUUCUUUUUGCCAGCGCUUAAUUGCGCGGCGAAAAAACCUUACACACAGUGUUUUUUGUUAUUACAAGAACUUUUGCUUUGGUCUGGACUAGAAAUAGUUUGGGCCAGAGGUUUACUGAACUAAACUUCAAUAUUUAUAUUGAAUUGUUAUUUAUUUAUUUGUCAAUUUGUUGAUUAAAUUCAAAAAAUCUUCAAAACUUUCAACAACGGAUCUCUUGGUUCUCGCAUCGAUGAAGAACGCAGCGAAAUGCGAUAAGUAAUAUGAAUUGCAGAUUUUCGUGAAUCAUCGAAUCUUUGAACGCACAUUGCGCCCUCUGGUAUUCCAGAGGGCAUGCCUGUUUGAGCGUCAUUUCUCUCUCAAACCUUCGGGUUUGGUAUUGAGUGAUACUCUUAGUCGAACUAGGCGUUUGCUUGAAAUGUAUUGGCAUGAGUGGUACUGGAUAGUGCUAUAUGACUUUCAAUGUAUUAGGUUUAUCCAACUCGUUGAAUAGUUUAAUGGUAUAUUUCUCGGUAUUCUAGGCUCGGCCUUACAAUAUAACAAACAAGUUUGACCUCAAAUCAGGUAGGAUUACCCGCUGAACUUAAGCAUAUCAAUAAGCGGAGGAAAAGAAACCAACAGGGAUUGCCUUAGUAACGGCGAGUGAAGCGGCAAAAGCUCAAAUUUGAAAUCUGGCACCUUCGGUGUCCGAGUUGUAAUUUGAAGAAGGUAACUUUGGAGUUGGCUCUUGUCUAUGUUCCUUGGAACAGGACGUCACAGAGGGUGAGAAUCCCGUGCGAUGAGAUGCCCAAUUCUAUGUAAAGUGCUUUCGAAGAGUCGAGUUGUUUGGGAAUGCAGCUCUAAGUGGGUGGUAAAUUCCAUCUAAAGCUAAAUAUUGGCGAGAGACCGAUAGCGAACAAGUACAGUGAUGGAAAGAUGAAAAGAACUUUGAAAAGAGAGUGAAAAAGUACGUGAAAUUGUUGAAAGGGAAGGGCUUGAGAUCAGACUUGGUAUUUUGCGAUCCUUUCCUUCUUGGUUGGGUUCCUCGCAGCUUACUGGGCCAGCAUCGGUUUGGAUGGUAGGAUAAUGACUAAGGAAUGUGGCUCUACUUCGGUGGAGUGUUAUAGCCUUGGUUGAUACUGCCUGUCUAGACCGAGGACUGCGUCUUUUGACUAGGAUGUUGGCAUAAUGAUCUUAAGCCACCCGUCUUGAAACACGGACC